GACAGAGGUGCCAAGCGUUAGGCGGAAUCACUGGGCUUAAAGCGUGUGUAGGCGGAUCGUUAAGUACCUUGUGAAAUCCCACGGCUCAACCGUGGAACUGCUGGGUAUACUGGCGGUCUUGAGCCACCUAGGGGCAACUGGAACAAGCGGUGGAGCGGUGAAAUGCGUAGAUAUCGCUUGGAACGCCAACGGUGAAAACAGGUUGCUGGGGGUGUGCUGACGCUGAGGCGCGAAAGCUAGGGGAGCAAACAGG
rnacentral:rRNA from 1 species